rnacentral:miRNA from 1 species
ACGAUAUUAUAAUUUUUUUAGUAUAGCCGCCGGCGAUACUCUUAAAAUAUUCUAUUUUGGAGUAUCGCCGCGUGGCUAUACUCUUAAGCUCCCGUAU